ensembl:lncRNA
GUACAGCCGGGCAGCGAGGCUUCGGACGUCAUCAUUUUCAGCUCCUCCCAUAAAUGAAGCAAGCCUCGAUACGCGCGUCACGGAAACGCUCCCUCAAUUACGGUGCGUUCACACCGAACGCGAUAGAGGCGGCCAGAGCGUCAGGUUUACAUGUAAAGUUAAUGGAAAGGCGCGAUGACCCGCGAUUGCGGCUCCCGCGAAAAUUCGGAAGCAGAUUUGCGUCGCGAAAACGCCUGAAACGCGCGUGAGUGUAGCGCGUUUCAGGCGUUUGACUCGCGAAAAAAACCACACGCGUGAGUUUUUGUGUUGCAUUUUGUGCAUACACGCGUUUCGCGUCCCCCGCUCGAGUUGGAAAAAUCUGAACUCCAGCGUCAAAUCGCGCCGCGACAACCAAUCAGGAGCCUGGUGAUGUGGCUGUUACCUAGUUCAAAGGGGCAGAUCCAGCCAAAGCCAUUCAUUCUGCAUUCAUCAUGGAGGAAAAACUAAUCAGUGCUGUGGCAAAUCAUCCCGAAUUAUACGAUGCUACCUACUAUUUCUACCGAGACAGGAAUAAAAAGGACCUAGCUUGGAGACAAAUCAGUGAGGAGAUCGGGCAACCUGAGGACAUCUGCAGGAGAAAGUGGAAGAGCCUCAGGGACACCUAUAAGGAGAAGAGGGCAGAGAAGGAGAAGAGGAGUGGGUCUGCAGCAGGAUCGGGGAGGAGAUGGAAGUUCUUCGCGGUCAUGGGGUUUCUGGACCCCUUCCUCACCCCGCGGGAGACAAGCGGCAAUAUGGUGCGGACCGUGGAGAACUUCUCCCCCGAGGACCAGGGACAGUCCGAAGAGGCAGCAGGGGAGUGUCAGUCAGAAGAGUCAAGUAAUCAUGCAGCAGAGUCCUCCCAUGUUGCUUCUCCUGACUCCCCAGUCCCUGGUCCCUCCACUCCUGCUGCUGCACCCACAGGCCCACAGAGGAGGACAGCUCGAAGGCGGGCGAGGGAAGGGUCCCAGGACGGUCCAUCGGCGGUGGAGCUGGCUAUCCUGGAGACCCUAAAGAGGCCACGUCCGUCUGCAACUGAACAUUUCCUCCUCAGCCUUGUUCCUGCUCUGGAGAGCAUGCCGCCUCAGACACGAGAAUUCGUGAAAUUCCAAAUUUAUAAAUCAGUUUUUGAAAACAGCACAGCUGUGCUAAAUUUGGAAACAUUGGACCCUAAUGAUCAGUAGUUUUCUGAUGAGGCAGCAGCUCUCCAGAGCAGAAACAAUGUUCUUAUGUUUAUCCUCCUUCUCCCUGAGGCUCUUCCACUCCAAGCUGGGUCCUUUUUAUUCCUGUCUGUCUGUAAAUAGUUAGAUUUCAUAUAUUUAUGUUAUUUAUGUCCUUUUGUUACUGAAUUUAUAUAUUUUAUCAAAUAAACAUUUAUAAUGACAAAUGUCUUUGUUCUACUACACAGCAAAUAUUGGCA